rnacentral:rRNA from 1 species
GACGAACGCUGGCGGCGUGCUUAACACAUGCAAGUCGAACGCUGAAGCUUGGUGCUUGCUCUGGGUGGAUGAGUGGCGAACGGGUGAGUAAUACGUGAGUAACCUGCCCUUGACUCUGGGAUAAGCCUGGGAAACUGGGUCUAAUACUGGAUACGACAUGUCACCGCAUGGUGGUGUGUGGAAAGGGUUUUACUGGUUUUGGAUUGGCUCACGGCCUAUCAGCUUGUUGGUUGGGUAAUGGCUCACCAAGGCGACGACGGGUAGCCGGCCUGAGAGGGUGACCGGCCACACUGGGACUGAGAGACGACCCAGACUCCUACGGGAGGCAGCAGUGGGGAGCAUUGCACAAUGGGCGGAAGCCUGAUGCAGCGACGCCGCGUGAGGGAUGACGGCCUUCGGGUUGUAAACCUCUUUCAGCACGGAAGAAGCGAAAGUGACGGUACGUGAAGAAGAAGCGCCGGCUAACUACGUG